GGGAUGUGGCUCAGUGGUAAAGUGCUUGCCUUGCAUGUGUGAGGCCCUGAGUUCAAUCCCCAGCAUCACCA
rnacentral:tRNA from 1 species